AUGUGUAUGGAGGCGCUACACUGGAUUGCUUACGAGAAGAUACAUGGCACGGGUUCUUUCAGCUGCAAGGUCGCGGAUACCGCAGCACAGGAACUCAAGAAGAAAAUGAGAAUAGGCGAAGGUGGAGCAUUUCCAGACGAUGUUCUCAAGGAAAUCAGCUCGAACAUGGGGCUCCCCACCAUCAAGAACAUCAUACGCCUAACUUCCAAAAAUUACGAGACGAUGUACACUGCAGACAAGAAGGAUGCUGCACAAGUUACUGUGGGGAUGCUCAAAGAAGGCCCGAUAGUUGAAGGGAUGGUCUAUGGUGCGGGAGUAAAUUGCAAAAAACCACCACAAUUGAGGACCUUAAUUCAGAAAACGACCACUAUUCAGUUUUUUUUUUAA
rnacentral:rRNA from 1 species